AACGCACAUUGCACUCUCUGGUAUUCCGGAGAGUAUGCUUGUUUGAGUAUCUGUAAACAUCUCAACCCUCAAGGCGCUUACGUCGGGAGGAUUGGACUUGAGCGAUCCCGACUCUUUCGUGAGGAAGAGGAGGGUCGCUUGAAAUGCAGGUGCAGCAGGACAUUCUUCUGAGCUAAAAGCAUAUCUAUUUAGUCCCGUCAAACGGAUUAUUACUUUUGCUUCAGCUAACAUAAAGGUCGAAUGCGCCACAAUCGCUGAUUGCAGGAAAACUCGUUCGUAAGAACUUGUGAACUCGAUCUCAAAUCAAGUAAGACUACCCGCUGAACUUAA
rnacentral:misc_RNA from 1 species